rfam:Trichosporon oleaginosus strain IBC0246 unplaced genomic scaffold CC85scaffold_24, whole genome shotgun sequence.
GCCUUUGUAGCUCAGUGGCAGAGCGCGCCUUUCGUAUGCUCCGAUGCGGACAUCAUGCGAGGGUGAGGUCGGCGGUUCAAUCCCGUCCGGAGGCA